GAUGAACGCUGGCGGCGUGCCUAAUACAUGCAAGUCGAGCGAAUGGAUUAAGAGCUUGCUCUUAUGAAGUUAGCGGCGGACGGGUGAGUAACACGUGGGUAACCUGCCCAUAAGACUGGGAUAACUCCGGGAAACCGGGGCUAAUACCGGAUAACAUUUUGAACCGCAUGGUUCGAAAUUGAAAGGCGGCUUCGGCUGUCACUUAUGGAUGGACCCGCGUCGCAUUAGCUAGUUGGUGAGGUAACGGCUCACCAAGGCAACGAUGCGUAGCCGACCUGAGAGGGGGAUCGGCCACACUGGGACUGAGACACGGCCCAGACUCCUACGGGAGGCAGCAGUAGGGAAUCUUCCGCAAUGGACGAAAGUCUGACGGAACAACGCCGCGUGAGUGAUGAAGGCUUUCGGGUCGUAAAACUCUGUUGUUAGGGAAGAACAAGUGCUAGUUGAAUAAGCUGGCACCUUGACGGUACCUAACCAGAAAGCCACGGCUAACUACGUGCAGCCGCCGCCGUAA
rnacentral:rRNA from 1 species